rnacentral:rRNA from 1 species
UACGUAGGGGGGCAAGCGUUGUCCGGAUUUAUUGGGCGUAAAGAGCGUGUAGGCGGCCAGAUAGGUCUGUUGUGAAAAACUCGAGGCUCAACCUCGAGACGCCGAUGGAAACCAUCUGGCUAGAGUCCGGAAGAGGAGAGUGGAAUUCCUGGUGUAGCGGUGAAAUGCGCAGAUAUCAGGAAGAACACCCGUGGCUAAGGCGGCUACCUGGACCAGCACUGACACUGAGGCACGAAAGCGUGGGGAGCAAACAGG